rnacentral:rRNA from 1 species
CGCUUUAGCGGUGUGGGAUGAGCCCGCGGCCUAUCAGCUUGUUGGUGGGGUGACGGCCUACCAAGGCGACGACGGGUAGCCGGCCUGAGAGGGUGUCCGGCCACACUGGGACUGAGAUACGGCCCAGACUCCUACGGGAGGCAGCAGUGGGGAAUAUUGCACAAUGGGCGCAAGCCUGAUGCAGCGACGCCGCGUGGGGGAUGACGGCCUUCGGGUUGUAAACCUCUUUCACCAUCGACGAAGGUCCGGGUUCUCUCGGAUUGACGGUAGGUGGAGAAGAAGCACCGGCCAACUACGUGCCAGCAGCCGCGGUAAUACGUAGGGUGCGAGCGUUGUCCGGAAUUACUGGGCGUAAAGAGCUCGUAGGUGGUUUGUCGCGUUGUUCGUGAAAUCUCACGGCUUAACUGUGAGCGUGCGGGCGAUACGGGCAGACUAGAGUACUGCAGGGGAGACUGGAAUUCCUGGUGUAGCGGUGGAAUGCGCACAUAUCAGGAGGAACACCGGUGGCGAAGGCGGGUCUCUGGGCAGUAACUGACGCUGAGGAGCGAAAUCGUGGGGAGCGAACAGGAUUAGAUACCCUGGUAGUCCACGCCGUAAACGGUGGGUACUAGGUGUGGGUUUCCUUCCUUGGGAUCCGUGCCGUAGCUAACGCAUUAAGUACCCCGCCUGGGGAGUACGGCCGCAAGGCUAAAACUCAAAGGAAUUGACGGGGGCCCGCACAAGCGGCGGAGCAUGUGGAUUAAUUCGAUGCAACGCGAAGAACCUUACCUGGGUUUGACAUGCACAGGACGCGUCUAGAGAUAGGCGUUCCCUUGUGGCCUGUGUGCAGGUGGUGCAUGGCUGUCGUCAGCUCGUGUCGUGAGAUGUUGGGUUAAGUCCCGCAACGAGCGCAACCCUUGUCUCAUGUUGCCAGCACGUAAUGGUGGGGACUCGUGAGAGACUGCCGGGGUCAACUCGGAGGAAGGUGGGGAUGACGUCAAGUCAUCAUGCCCCUUAUGUCCAGGGCUUCACACAUGCUACAAUGGCCGGUACAAAGGGCUGCGAUGCCGCGAGGUUAAGCGAAUCCUUAAAAGCCGGUCUCAGUUCGGAUCGGGGUCUGCAACUCGACCCCGUGAAGUCGGAGUCGCUAGUAAUCGCAGAUCAGCAACGCUGCGGUGAAUACGUUCCCGGGCCUUGUACACACCGCCCGUCGCGUCAUGAAAGUCGGUAACACCCGAAGCCAGUGGCC